rnacentral:rRNA from 1 species
GAUGAACGCUGGCGGCGUGCCUAAUACAUGCAAGUCGAGCGAACAGACGAGGAGCUUGCUCCUCUGACGUUAGCGGCGGACGGGUGAGUAACACGUGGAUAACCUACCUAUAAGACUGGGAUAACUUCGGGAAACCGGAGCUAAUACCGGAUAACAUGUUGAACCGCAUGGUUCAACAGUGAAAGACGGUUUUGCUGUCACUUAUAGAUGGAUCUGCGCCGCAUUAGCUAGUUGGUAAGGUAACGGCUUACCAAGGCAACGAUGCGUAGCCGACCUGAGAGGGUGAUCGGCCACACUGGAACUGAGACACGGUCCAGACUCCUACGGGAGGCAGCAGUAGGGAAUCUUCCGCAAUGGGCGAAAGCCUGACGGAGCAACGCCGCGUGAGUGAAGAAGGUCUUCGGAUCGUAAAACUCUGUUAUUAGGGAAGAACAAAUGUGUAAGUAACUAUGCACGUCUUGACGGUACCUAAUCAGAAAGCCACGGCUAACUACGUG